AUACGGAGGGUGCAAGCGUUAUCCGGAAUCAUUGGGUUUAAAGGGUCCGUAGGCGGACUAAUAAGUCAGGGGUGAAAUCCCACAGCUUAACUGUGGAACUGCCUUUGAUACUGUUAGUCUUGAGUUAUAUGGAAGUAGAUAGAAUGUGUAGUGUAGCGGUGAAAUGCUUAGAGAUUACACAGAAUACCGAUUGCGAAGGCAGUCUACUACAUAUAUACUGACGCUAAUGGACGAAAGCGUGGGGAGCGAACAGGAUUAGAAACCCUUGUAGUCC
rnacentral:rRNA from 1 species